rnacentral:lncRNA from 1 species
CACUCAUAUGCCCUGCCCUCUUUUAUUAGAGGGCAGAGAGCUGAGCAGGAAGCAUCCUCAGACAGCACAGAGUGGGAUCUCUGUCAUCCACGAUGCUCCCAGGCUUCCUGCUUCUGCUCAUCCUCGCAGGUGGACAAACCUCCAGUUCAGAGCUUCCUGAUGGUCAGCAGGUGAACGAGGAGACCUUGGAGGGACCAUCAGGUGGAAGUGCCUCCAGUUUGGAGCAACAGGAGCUUCCUGAGGAUGAGGAUGACUGGAAUUCUGGAGGAAUGCCAGGUGGAAACAUCUUUGACAUGGUUCGAGGAGCUUAUUUGGAGGUUGUUGCUAACUGCAGCUUUCAAAAUGUUUUAAACUACCUGGGCUUGACACAAAACAAAGACCUGUACACCCUGAGCCGGCCAAGCAGUCACCACCAGAAUAACACGUGGGUGUUACUUGAUGUAAGAAUCUAUGCCAUCCUGGAUGUGGUAGGUGUAACUGUUACUGUUGAACAUCUAGAGAGCAACAAGUCUGGUUUGGGGGACAUUCUGAGAUGUUGUAUGUUUCUGC